rnacentral:rRNA from 1 species
AUUGAACGCUGGCGGCAGGCCUAACACAUGCAAGUCGAGCGGAUGAAGGGAGCUUGCUCCUGGAUUCAGCGGCGGACGGGUGAGUAAUGCCUAGGAAUCUGCCUGGUAGUGGGGGAUAACGUCCGGAAACGGGCGCUAAUACCGCAUACGUCCUGAGGGAGAAAGUGGGGGAUCUUCGGACCUCACGCUAUCAGAUGAGCCUAGGUCGGAUUAGCUAGUUGGUGGGGUAAAGGCCUACCAAGGCGACGAUCCGUAACUGGUCUGAGAGGAUGAUCAGUCACACUGGAACUGAGACACGGUCCAGACUCCUACGGGAGGCAGCAGUGGGGAAUAUUGGACAAUGGGCGAAAGCCUGAUCCAGCCAUGCCGCGUGGGUGAAGAAGGUCUUCGGAUUGUAAAGCCCUUUAAGUUGGGAGGAAGGGCAGUAAGUUAAUACCUUGCUGUUUUGACGUUACCAACAGAAUAAGCACCGGCUAACUUCGUG